GAUGAACGCUGGCGGCGUGCCUAGUACAUGCAAGUCGAGCGAAUGGAUUAAGAGCUUGCUCUUAUGAAGUUAGCGGCGGACGGGUGAGUACCACGUGGGUAACCUGCCCAUAAGACUGGGAUAACUCCGGGAAACCGGGGCUAAUACCGGAUAACAUUUUGAACCGCAUGGUUCGAAAUUGAAAGGCGGCUUCGGCUGUCACUUAUGGAUGGACCCGCGUCGCAUUAGCUAGUUGGUGAGGUAACGGCUCACCAAGGCAACGAUGCGUAGCCGACCUGAGAGGGUGAUCGGCCACACUGGGACUGAGACACGGCCCAGACUCCUACGGGAGGCAGCAGUAGGGAAUCUUCCGCAAUGGACGAAAGUCUGACGGAGCAACGCCGCGUGAGUGAUGAAGGCUUUCGGGUCGUAAAACUCUGUUGUUAGGGAAGAACAAGUGCUAGUUGAAUAAGCUGGCACCUUGACGGUACCUAACCAGAAAGCCACGGCUAGCUACGUGCCAGCCGCCGCAGUAA
rnacentral:rRNA from 1 species